AAGUCGUAACAAGGUUUCCGUAGGUGAACCUGCGGAAGGAUCAUUAAAAGAGAAUUUUGUUUGGUAGUAGAAAUACUCCAGCAAAAAUCCCAACCCUUGUCUAUACAAAAACAAAAUUGUUGCUUCGGUGGGUUCAAGGAAUUUAUAUAUACAUAUUCUGAACUUUACUGUUUGGAUUAUUAUUAUUAUUUCCUCCGCCAGAAGAAAAUCAAAACAAAACUCUUUAUAACAAAUUGUCUGAAAAUAUUGAACUUGAAUAAAAAUCAAGUGAUAAAUUAUUACAACUUUCAACAACGGAUCUCUUGGUUCUG
rnacentral:misc_RNA from 1 species